rnacentral:misc_RNA from 1 species
AAUUCUCAACCUUUUAAGCAUUUUGUUAAAGCUUAUUAAGGCUUGGAUUAUGGGAGCUUUGCUGGCUUUUAUUGAGUUAGCUCUUCUUAAACACAUUAGCAAGAUCAUCGCUGAAUCAUCUUUGAUAUGAUAAUUAUAUCUAUAUUAUUGAUGGUUAAGCAUUUUCCUUCAAGGAAAAGAUAUAGCUUCUAACCGUCUUCAGAGACAGUCUACAUCA